UACGUAGGGUGCAAGCGUUUGUCCGGAAUUAUUGGGCGUAAAGAGCUCGUAGGCGGUGUGUCACGUCGGCCGUGAAAACCUGCAGCUUAACUGUGGGCGUGCGGUCGAUACGGGCAUCACUGGAGUUCGGCAGGGGAGACUGGAAUUCCUGGUGUAGCGGUGAAAUGCGUAGAUAUCAGGAGGAACACCGGUGGCGAAGGCGGCCCUCUGGACGGUGACUGACGCUGGAGGCGCGAAAGCGUGGGGAGCAAACAGG
rnacentral:rRNA from 1 species